GAGGAAUAUUGGGCAAUGGGCGCAAGCCUGACCCAGCCAUGCCGCGUGAAGGAUGAAUGCCCUAUGGGUUGUAAACUUCUUUUGUACGGGACGAAACUCCCGGUCGUGACCGGGAUUGACUGUACCGUGCGAAUAAGCAUCGGCUAACUCCGUGCCAGCAGCCGCGGUAAUACGGAGGAUGCAAGCGUUAUCCGGAUUCAUUGGGUUUAAAGGGUGCGUAGGCGGAACAAUAAGUCAGUGGUGAAAGCCUGCGGCUUAACCGUAGAAUUGCCAUUGAUACUGUUGUUCUUGAGUAUAGUUGAGGUGGGCGGAAUGUGUAAUGUAGCGGUGAAAUGCUUAGAUAUUACACAGAACACCAAUUGCGAAGGCAGCUCACUAAGCUGUUACUGACGCUGAGGCACGAAAGCGUGGGGAGCAAAC
rnacentral:rRNA from 1 species